rnacentral:rRNA from 1 species
UGGUGGAGCGAUUUGUCAGGUUAAUUCCGUUAACGAACGAGACCUUAUCCUGCUAAAUAGCGCAACGUAUCUUCGGAUAUGUAGUUCGCUUCUUAGAGGGACUUUGUGUUUUUCUAGCGCAAGGAAGUUUGUAGGCAAUAACA